rnacentral:rRNA from 1 species
GAAUAUUGGACAAUGGGCGAAAGCCUGAUCCAGCCAUGCCGCGUGUGUGAAGAAGGUCUUCGGCUUGUAAAGCAUUUUAAGUUGGGAGGAAGGGCAGUAAGCGAACACCUUGCUGUGUUGACGUUACUGACAGAAUAAGCACAGGCUAACUCUGUUCACGCAGCCGCGGUCAUACAGAGGGUGCAAGCGUUAAUCGGAUUUACUGGGCGUAAAGCGCGCGUAGGUGGUUCGUUAAGUUGGAUGUGAAAGCCCCUGGCUCAACCUGGGAACUGCAUCCAAAACUGGCGAGCUAGAGUAGGGCAGAGGGUGGUGGAAUUUCCUGUGUCGCGGUGAAAUGCGUAGAUAUAGGAAGGAACACCAGUGGCUAAGGCGACCACCUGGGCUCAUACUGACACUGAGGUGCGAAAGCGUGGGGAGCAAACA